UUUAAAACGAUCACUAGUCCAUUUAUGAGAGUGGAAUCUUCAUGGCGUCAACACCUCCCUAAUUUAGGCCAAACCUCCAAAUACUAGUGCACUGGGGACUACAUUCCAAACAUAUCUGUUUUAGGGGACUUAUUCAGACCAUAGCGGCAAAGGAAGGAGAGAGGAGGGCUAUGUGGUUGGAUCAGAAAACAAGACUUAGAUGUUGAAAAGCUAUUUUAUGUCCCAUCAAAGAGUUUACAUUUUUAUCCUGCAGGUGAAUGGAAAUCCACUGACACAUUUUGAGAAGGGGAAGACCAGCUUCAGUUAAGGACACAGCUGUAUGAUCUAUUGUUCCUAGGAAUGACUUCAAAUUUUCUCAUUACUGCAAGACAUUAAGUUGCCAAGAUAUGAUUUACUUUAGUAAGUGCCUUUUAUGUCAUCUACGUUGGAGAGUUUUUGUGACUGUUAUUUAAAUUUCAUUUUCCUGGCAAUCUGUCUCAGUGUUAAAAAACAAAGGAGAGACUCUACGUUGGAAUCGACUAAGCAGCCUAAAACAUUGAUAACUCGUUAGGCAGACACCACCAGGACAGACCGCACACCACGUGAACCGAGAGCAGCCACCUGGAAAAGCCGAGGCGAGAGGUGCUCCUUGGCACUGCCUUUCCAAAUGUGUUCCUAUCAGCUGCACACAUUUCUGAGUAUGUGGAGGCAAAGAGAAGACUACAGAAGUGGAAAAUUGGAAGGUGGAAAAAAAAUCCCCUCAGGCAAAGAUUUAAAGUUAAUUUUAAAGAAAGUUUAGGUGGAGGAUGCUUGCUGGAGUU
rnacentral:lncRNA from 1 species